rnacentral:rRNA from 1 species
AACACAUGCAAGUCGAGCGGAAACGAGUUAUCUGAACUUCGGGGAACGAUAACGGCGUCGAGCGGCGGACGGGUGAGUAAUGCCUGGGAAAUUGCCCUGAUGUGGGGGAUACCAUUGGAAACAUGGCUAAUACCGCAUAAUAGCUUCGGCUCAAAGAGGGGGACCUUCGGGCCUCUCGCGUCAGGAUAUGCCCAGGUGGGAUUAGCUAGUUGGUGAGGUAAGGGCUCACCAAGGCAACGAUCCCUAGCUGGUCUGAGAGGAUGAUCAGCCACACUGGAACUGAGACACGGUCCAGACUCCUACGGGAGGCAGCAGUGGGGAAUAUUGCACAAUGGGCGCAAGCCUGAUGCAGCCAUGCCGCGUGUAUGAAGAAGGCCUUCGGGUUGUAAAGUACUUUCAGCAGUGAGGAAGGUUCAUGCGUUAAUAGCGUAUGGAUUUGACGUUAGCUGCAGAAGAAGCACCGGCUAACUCCGUG